AAUGGAAAUUGAGGGCAGAACAAU
rnacentral:piRNA from 1 species